ACAAGCGGUGGAGUAUGUGGUUAAUUCGAAGCAACGCGAAGAACCUUACCAGGCCUUGACAUGCAGAGAACUUUCCAGAGAUGGAUUGGUGCCUUCGGGAACUCUGACACAGGUGCUGCAUGGCUGUCGUCAGCUCGUGUCGUGAGAUGUUGGGUUAAGUCCCGUAACGAGCGCAACCCUUGUCCUUAGUUACCAGCACGUUAUGGUGGGCACUCUAAGGAGACUGCCGGUGACAAACCGGAGGAAGGUGGGGAUGACGUCAAGUCAUCAUGGCCCCUACGGCCUGGGCUACACACGUGCUACAAUGGUCGGUACAAAGGGUUGCCAAGCCGCGAGGUGGAGCUAAUCCCAUAAAACCGAUCGUAGUCCGGAUCGCAGUCUGCAACUCGACUGCGUGAAGUCGGAAUCGCUAGUAAUCGUGAAUCAGAAUGUCACGGUGAAUACGUUCCCGGGCCUU
rnacentral:rRNA from 1 species